CAAUAAGCUAAUCAGACAGAAUAGUGUUGAAUGUUUGACUUUUUAGAUAUUAGUUGUAGCUAACAAUAAGUUUUUUUUAUAUUAAAUCCUUUUCUUUCUCGAGGUACAAACUGAACAUAAUCAUAUCAAUUGCUCACAGAAUUGAGUAGAAGUACACAAUGAACGUGUCGAAAAUAUUUCAUUAUUAUUGGACGGAAAUAGCAGUGCGACAUGUCUUCGUGAUCUAUAAUCGUAUACGCUACUUCGAUGAGUGCCCGAAGGGAAACAACUUUGAGAUGUCUAGACUAGGUGUGUCUUUCGAUUACACUCCACACGUAGUAGUCGAGAGGGUUAAGAUCGGGAUUAUUACAAGGCUAGAAAUCCUCCUUCGACCAAAACAUAUCCACGUUAGAGAGCUAAUUUUGAAUUAAAUGACUGAUGUGAGCGAGA